GGUCUCUUGAAAUUUUAUAAGGGGUUUAGCCUGCUCACUGAAUAUUUUGAAGAGCUGCAGUAUCAUGACUGUACAAAGGUAGCACAAUCACUAGCCUUUUAAUUAGAGGCGGGAAUGAAAGGUAAGACAGAAGAACACUGUCUCGGGCUUAUUUUUUGAAUUUUUCUUUUCUGUUAAAAGACAGAGAUAUGGAUAAAGGACAAGAAGACCCUGUUAAAGUUUAUUUAGUUGGGCAGGAGGGAUAACCUAUGUUUGUUAUUGUGCGUAAUUAGAUUUUGCUGGGGCGGCAGGUAUAACUUCAAUAUAAAGAAAAAUAAUGUAGCUAGAUAGAGACGUGAGCCGGGUAGGCCGAAUGUAAGAAUAAGUUACUAAAGGGAUAACAGCGUUAUACUAUUUGAGAGUUCAUAUUGACAGUAGUGUUUGCGA
rnacentral:rRNA from 1 species